rnacentral:rRNA from 1 species
CCCUUAGAUGUUCUGGGCCGCAUGCGUGCUACACUGAGUGGAUCAGCGGGUCAGGUUGCGCGAAAGUGUUUCCUAAUCUUUAAAUCCGCUCGUGAUGGGGAUUGACGGUUGCAAUUUUCCGUCAUGAACGAGGAAUACCUUGUAAGCGCGGGUCAUCAUCCCGCGCUGAAUACGUCCCUGCCCUUUGUACACACCGCCCGUCGCUCCUACCGAUUGAGUGGUCCGGUGAGGCUUUGGGAUCUGGGCGGAAAGAGCGUUUCGCUGUUUCUGCCCGGAAAACUCAGUCGAACCUUAUCAUUUAGAGGAAGGAGAAGUCGUAACA